AGAAUUUUCAACUCUCAUGAAUCAGCGAAUGAAGCGAAUAAAAUUUCGAAGGUGCCGCUUCAUUCGCUUCAUUCGCUUCAUUCGCUUCAUUCGCUUCAUUCACUUCUUUUGCUUCUUUUGCUUCUUUCGCUUCAUUCGCUUCUUUUGCUUCUUUUGCUUCUUUCGCUUCUCUUGCUUCACCCGCACAGUCCCGUCUUUUUUUUCCUGUAGCCUUUCAGACUUCGUUUGUUUAAACCGCUGAGACCAUCAUUGACAUUUGAAGACGAAUAAAAUCAGAUUCAAUGAAAGACAUUUUAGAAAAGCACGUGUUUAAUUUAGAAGAUUACAGAGAGAUCGGUGAAAACGACGCUUGGCUGCAGAAAAUCGUAGAAACAAGUCGAUUUAAGAGCAGAAGGAUCUUCCUGCUCGAUUUUUAUUGUUUUUUUGGACUUUGAGAAACUUUAAAACUUCUCGUUUUGUUUCGUCCGUCUUGUUCAUGAAGUAAAAACAUGUUUUCAGCGUAAAGACGGUGACUCUGUGUAAAUCAUGGCGGCCUCUGAGGCGUGGAUGUGAAAGGGGGCAGCUCGGCCUCCUCGGGACCUUCAGAGACAGCACCACGGGACGAUUAGAGGGAGGGUCUGCUCUUUAGGAAAGGGGGCGGGCUAAGAGAGCAGGUGGGGCGAGUGUGUGCACAUCAGAGGGGGGUAUUUCAGACGUGGACGCUCAGAAUCCACUGAUCUAAUGACGGACCGGCUUCAGAGCGACGCUGCGCCUCUUUGCUCAGCGCCAAUUAACUCGGAGGGAGGGGACAGUUGAUGGACAAGUCUAUUAUUAGCAUGUGAGGAGCGCCGCAGAGCCGCAAAGAAAUCAAAGAAAGAAAAGUCCUGAAGGAAGUGGCGAAUGCGAAGUGAAAGCGCCUGAUAUGCUUCAUUGGCCCAAUUGUGGCCGUGCUGCUUUCUUCUCCUCCUCCCUGCAAACACCAGCACGCCGUCCGCAACACAACCCUGCAAAUGAUGUAAUUUGUGGCUCUGCAGAGGUGUCCCCUCGCCGCCGCCGCCGCUGCUGCUGCGCGACCCAAUUAUACCACUCCCAGAAACAAAAACCCCGUCAGUCAAAGAAACGUAUCAAAGGUUCCUCGAAGGCUGGAAAGUGUCCGGCUGAGCGGGGAGCAGCUCCUCCACCUCCCCGUCAAACCCACCUAUCAUUGUCUCCAUGCAGGAGGAGGUCACUCGGUGAUUGGGCUCCAUUUCAAACACACCUCCCAUGUUCGCCAAUGAAUGUCUUUGAGGGGGAAGACGCCAAACAGCCGCCUUCGCCGCAUCAGGACGACCAGCAGCUGUUACUUCUCCUUUAAUAACCGAGUUUCUUUUAUUGGACAGAUUUAGAAAACUCUGCGUACCUCAUCAUGAAACUCAGAUUUUUCUCCAUCACUGUAAGAUUAAGUGUCUCAUGAUGUUCGUUUACGUCUCAUGAGUUAAAGGGUUAAAGUUUCAGUGAGAAGAGGAAAACACUCCAACACUGAGGAGAGUCGUGAAAGUUUGAUUUCUCUGCUCUCGUGCGGCACACUGACCGCUCUCCUCUCCUUCAUCUUCAUCAUCUUCAGACGUGCAUUAAUGAGGAUAUCACAGCUGAAAUCAAACAGAUGAUCCUCGUUCAAAACUCAAACUCCUGUCAUCCAAACGUCUCAGAUCUGACAUUCACUCGCUCUGUCUUCGCAGUGUAAGCUGUCCGAACAGAUCUCACGAUUUAGUGAUCUGGCGUGAUCGACUGCUCCUUGAUUGGUCCAACUUUGUCACAGGAGCCAAUCAGAAGAUGAGAAACUUCAAAAGAUGUAAUUAAUGUUGGGUUUAAUUAUUGAUGUCUGCUCUAUGAGGCUGCAUGGAUUCACACCAACUGUUGAACAUCAGGAUUCAGAGUUAAAACUCAACACUGACACUGAAAACAAACAAACUUAAACACUCGUGGAUCUGAUCGUUAUGAUUAUUUAUCGUCUCGGUGUCCUGGGAUCUUCGCAGAAUCUUCUCCGUUUAGUGUUUGAAUAUUUAAAGCUCCUGUGAGAAAGUUUUGACAGCAAUGAAAUUCACACUGAUGCCUUUUUAUGGUAUCUGGAAGAAGACAUUGUUACCUUCGCCAAGGAGGUUAUGUUUUCGGUAGCGUUGGUUUGUUUGUUUGUUUGUUUGUUUGUCUGUUAGCAACUUUACGGAGAAAGUUACAGACGGAUUGACCUGAAAUUUUCUCCAGAGGUGCGUCUCAGCCCCAGGAGGAUCCCAUUACAUUUUGGUGGUGAUCCGGACAAAAUUCUGGAUACUGUGAUCCAGAACACACAAAAAUAAGGGUGUCGUUGGAAUUUUCAAUGCUGAAAGAUAACCAAUGGGCGGCACAGUGGUGUGUGAAUAUUUAAAGCUCCUGUGAGAAAGUUUUUGACAGCAAUGAAAUUCACACUGAUGCCUUUUUAUGGUAUCUGGAAGAAGACGUGGUUUAUGAUGAUGCACCUCACACUUUUCCGAUUAGAGGAAGUGAUUUUCGUCUCCAUGUGGUCAUAAAAGAUGCAAGAAGAACAAACAGAUGAUUAGAGGAAGAGAUUUUAGUCUCCAUGUGAUGAUCAAAACUGUGUUUCCUUUAUAUAAAUCUCAUCCUGCUGUCUCCGUUUUUGUCAGGGAACACGUUAAAAAGGCGAUAUUAACAGUGAGGGUCGUCCUGACAAACGGUUUCAGACUGACAGAAAAAAGUCACUCUCUCUGUUUCUGUUUUAAUCAGAAUUCAUUCAAGUCCAGAUAAAAAACUCUUUAUAGGAGCUUUAACCAAAAAGUACUGAAUCAAAUAUCCCCAAACUUUCUUUAUUUCAUAAAAAACUAAGUGGGUGAGUGCUGUAGGGGUCGGAGUGUCCACGGAGGACCAGGUGCUCUUCAGGAGGACAAACAGUGUCUAAAAAAUUCGUGAGAGAAGUGACUUACCUAUCAGGUGUUCAUAAAAGCUCAUGGUGUGAAGGCGAUC
rnacentral:lncRNA from 1 species